AAGAAAAGAAAAGAAAAGAAAAGGCAGGGUGGGGGGAGUCUCCCUUGUGCACCCUUUCAUUCAAUGCCCUCUUCCGAUAGGAACUCUAUUCUGACCUCUAUCUUCAUAGAUUGUCAGGAAACAUGGAUUUGAAUUCCAGUGCUGUUAAUUAUUAACCGUAUGACUUCAGACAAACCACCUAACUUGUCAGAGCUGCGAUUUUAUUAAUUAACGACGAGGUUAAUUAAAAAAAAAAAUUUGCCUUGGAGAGUUGUUGCAAAGUAUGUUAGAGUGACAUAAGCUUUUUAAUAAAUAUCCUUAAAAUGUGAUGAGCUAAGAAACAGGCCAUUUCUAUCUCUGUCACGAAACCAUCUAUGACAGGUGCUCUGGGUUGUCGGGGGCUUAGGCAACAAGUCUGAUAGCAACUCAUGGAUUUUAAAACCAUUACAUUUUUUGUCACCUCAACCAACAGGAAAGGGGAGAAGGCAUGGAGGAGGCAGACUAUUCCCUAAAGGCUCCAGCUUGAGCUCCAUCCUCGCGCUCACCUUCCAUUUGAGAAGGUAUAGACACUCAACCUACCUGGCCCCAAGCAGGCUGGGAAAUGUAGUUCCAGGAUGGACGGCCAUGUUCCAGCUACAACUCUUGACAGAGAGGAAAAACAGAGUUUGCUGGAAAGCCACUGUAGUUUCCAGCCGUGACCAAGUACAAGCUUUGCUUGGAAAAGAAAAAGAAGUCUAAAUGAUUCUCUCCUCUGCUUGGACUAUAAGGAUAAAUGGAACCAAGAAGACCUUCUGCACACCUAUAAAACCAACUUACAGGGAGCUCAGUUAACUGCCUUGCUCCUAACAAGGUUCGAAUCCCAAAUCCAAGAGGCUGCUUCUAGAGGCAGCUACAAUGCUUUGGUCAUCGCAGUGUCACCCCUGAGGGGAAGUGGUGCCACACGGAGGCAGGUGAUCAAGAGAAUGCCAUGUCAUCUCAAAAGCAAGAGCUAAGAGGGACCUACCAUGGAUUUCCAAGGGAAGGAUCAAAAAACAGAGGAAGCCUGUGUUAGAAGCUUUCAGAGCCCUUUGGGAUGGUAUUCAUGGAAACUGGAGGAAACAAAGGUAACAGGCAGCCUUACUUCAGGCUGUGGAGACAGCCCAGGGUGAGUCACAGCUAAUAAAAAGUGCUCCGUAAUGUUCCCAUACAAACUGUUGAGACCAAGCCUUGGAGCAUUUUCACUUUGGCCUGGAGCCCCAGAGUCCAUUCAGCUGGUGAUUAAUUGCAGGAAAGACCCUGGGAAAUGGAUCAGGAACAGAAAGUGGUUUAUACCAGUGUGAUCAUUAAAAUUUGAUCAAAAGCUGGAUGUGGCCAGUUACCUUUUGAUGGUGUUUUCUGAGAGCCAGUUCUAAAAAGACAUCCUUUCCCACCAGCAACUUUCCCACCAGCAACUCUCCUUUAAUUCCCAAGUAAUAUUUUGAGGCAACAGUUCAUAAUGGGUCAGAAAGAAGUACGGCAAAGCAGAUGAGUGGAUUGGGACCUUUUUAGGUGGUGAUCUGGAAAGGAAAGCAACAGAAAGGGCUUCGGGCUUAAGACAAUUGGGAAAAAAAAGUCUUAGCAACAAUGAGUAUGAUUGACUUCUAUGUCUGUUUUAGAAAGAAAUAGCAUACAAGUAAUCUGAAAUUUACAUGCCAAGCAGGUCUGAUAAAGUAGUUAAGUCUGAAGUUUGGAUUUAUAACAUUUUCACACAGUUACAGUGUCACAGAUCCGUAUGUUUCAGAUGUGACCUUAGAUGACAGUUUCUGGAAGCCUCUAUCCAUCCACCCAGGCUGCACUGGGGAUGACUUCUCUCUGGAUCUUUGUAAUACCUAAAUCCACCCAAUUUUAGCCUUAUUACACUGUUGUAGUUGCCUUCUUGUGUCUGUAUUCCCUAUUGAACUCUAAGUUCAUUUUGAGAAACUCUCCAGCUUUAGCUCAGCCCUGGGUACUCAGUAGGUGUUCUGUAAAUAUCUGUUGAAUUAAUAAUAAUUAAAAAAAAUAGUGGUGAGGUUUCCAGCGCUUCCAUAGAAACCUAUAUAUUUUGUGGGGCUCCUGGGUGGCUCAGUCGGUUAAGUGACUGAUGAUAUCAGCCCAGGUGGUGAUAUCAGGAUCAUUAGAUCAAGCCCAAUGAUGGAUUCUGUGUUGACAACAUGGAUCCUGCUUGGGCUUCUCUCUCUCCUUCUCUCUCUGCCCCUCCCUCACCUCUCUCUCUCUCAAAAUAAAUAAAGAGAAACCUAUAUUUUUUAACAGGAAAAAAACACGACUCUAACUCUUAUUUUUUAUAGGUAAUAUCUGUGUUUUCUUCUCCCAUCCUGAUCCAAGACUAUAUCCCACAUGUUCUAUAGAAUCCCACUGCUUCUGUUGGCAAAUGCACAUGGCUUCCAACUGGAGCUCAGGACACUAAAACCUUGUUCAUCUUGCUUCAGUUCCCUUCCUGAAGACAAUUACUCUCUGCCUCCCCACCUGCUCUGGCUGUGAGAGGGGUUCUUUCCCUUUCUUUACUUUAUUAGUAUUAGUAGUAGUAUUAG